CUCUUCCUUUCCUGCAUUAAGCAAAUGAUGCUCCGAUGCUUCUAGGUCUCUCCACCACUGCAAAAUGCUCAGAGAAGUGGAGGGAUUGAAAAGGAAGUUGCCUACUACUCUGAAGGAUACUGGAAAGUCGCCUUCAAAUCUAAAGUGAAGACUUGGGGGCGGGGGAUGCCCCCUUCCUGAAGAGGGAAUGAGGGUCCCUCCCCUAAAAAGGAGCCUCUGUUCGGGUGAAGGCGAUCCCCACCCUGAAAGAGAGGCGUGUAUGUGGAAAGGUGGUGGAAGGUUGUACCCUGAAGAGGAGCCUGGAUUUGAAGAAAUGUCCCAACUCUGAAGGGGGGCUAGAGUAGAGUGGAGUGAUCUCGGCUUACUGCAACCUCUGCCUCCCGGGUUCAAGCGAUUCUCCUGCCUCAGUGUCCCAAAUAGCUGGGACUACAGGCUGUCUGCUGCCCUGCAUUGUGAGUUUGCUCAGUGGGCCAGCGUGGCACAGAAGCACAGUUGAGAGACCAGACCCGGGGCCUCUGGAGGAACGUGCUGGUAUCAUCGCUGAAGAGCUUUCUCAAUGCUGGCUGGCUGUUGUCAGGAGCAGUCCUUAGACAGGCUCGCUUCUGGUAGUUCAAAGAAUCAGUGCCCUCUCUAGCCUUGGGAGUCCUAAUGAGCUAUAAUCACAGAGACGCCAGACUAGUCAAAAUUGGAAGAAAGAGCUAUAAUCACAGGAAAAGAACUCUCUCCACA
rnacentral:lncRNA from 1 species